rnacentral:lncRNA from 1 species
GCGAGCCCCGCUGCGCUGCCUUUCCCGCGCCCCCGGCAGGAGCCACCGGUGUUUUCAGCGCGCGGCGCGCUGCUAGGAUGCCGUGUGUUUUCUUCCACUAGUAACGCAGUCGGAGAGAUUUCUCCCUGUGCUCGGCAGGGAUAAAUACUACAGAUCUCUCUGGGCUGAUGCCCGAUUAAGCGAAAUUACCACUUGCUGCUUUUGUUUCUCUCUGCUCAGCAGAGGGAGACUUCUCUGCAGCGAUAAGGAAAAGGAGCAUGAUUGCACCAUGGCCUGACCUGCUCCGAUCAGUGGGACUGGUGAGGAGUCAGAGGAUCCACUCCACUGAGUGAUCGUCCCAGGAGACGGGGGUCGGAGCAAAGCGGACAUAAGAUUGUACGGAGUCGCUGCAGAAGGCACGGGCAAGGGGAGGUGCGCGUCCCCCAAAAGAGCAUCUGAUGGGGAGCACCAUACCGGGCACAGGGGGGACACGCAGCGACCAAGCAGGGCACGAGUCGUCGUGGGAUAUGGGCGGUGUGAACGCAUAGUAGCAUUUCUGUUUAGUGACGGAGGAAGGAAGCGGAAAUCUGAUGUGAAGUCGCAGCACAGAACCGCGUUCCCUGUUCGGCUCAGAGCGAUUCGAGGCGCGCUAACGGGCCCGGGUUGUAUUUGGCCCCUCCUCACUAACGCCGUGGCACUAACGCCUGGCAUGAAGGACGGCAGCGCCAAACCGCGUAAAGGGCAGCUCGCGUGGCGCGCCGGCCGUCCCGAUCGCUGGUGCCUACGCCGUGCCCGUGCUGUCCUGCGCCUCCGCCCCGACCGGCCCCCCGCGCCGGAGCCUUCCCGCGGGACGCACCGCCGGCCCUGAGCAGGGCCCUUGCUGCUGUUUGCUGGCCUUGUUCGUGGCUGGCAACGUGCUGACAAAACAAAUAACACUGUGAUGAAUGUGGUUCUUUGAGUGGCCAUCUGGAACCUUCUAAGUGUAUUUAUGUAUGCCCGUACGUAUGAAGAAAAUGCCUUUAAUAACAAAGUUAUUAAUCUUGAAUAACUCUCUUUGGGCCACUCUUCAUUGUCGUUUUCUUGUCAGGAUCUUUCUUAGCCGUAAUUCUUCCCUGCUGAGAGCUGUCUUUGUUUAAUCUCGCUGUAAUUAUUGGAAUAUCACACUUAGGAGGCGUCAGAACGGCGUUUUGUGCAAUAUGUUAUAUGCUUUACUGUAGGAUGCCUCUGGAAAAAAACCUCGCUCCGAACUAACUGAAGAUAUCCUGCAGGUCCCCCCACUGCCUGAUCCCGGCUAUGGGAAGCAGAAUGAACAGUAAUAUCCACCCUUGCAUUAAAUCGCAGAGCAAAAAAGGAGUCCUUUUCAAAAUGUUCAAUAAAUUAUUUGAGAAAGACUUCCCUGAAUUGCUC